rnacentral:rRNA from 1 species
GUUAUAUGGUCAAGUGAAGAAGCGCAUACGGUGGAUGCCUUGGCAGUCAGAGGCGAUGAAAGACGUGGUAGCCUGCGAAAAGCUUCGGGGAGUCGGCAAACAGACUUUGAUCCGGAGAUGUCUGAAUGGGGGAACCCAGCCAUCAUAAGAUGGUUAUCUUACGCUGAAUACAUAGGCGUAAGAGGCGAACCAGGGGAACUGAAACAUCUAAGUACCCUGAGGAAAAGAAAUCAACCGAGAUUCCCUUAGUAGUGGCGAGCGAACGGGGACUAGCCCUUAAGUGGCUUUGAGAUUAGCGGAACGCUCUGGAAAGUGCGGCCAUAGUGGGUGAUAGCCCUGUACGCGAAAAUCUCUUAGUCAUGAAAUCGAGUAGGACGGAGCACGAGAAACUUUGUCUGAAUAUGGGGGGACCAUCCUCCAAGGCUAAAUACUACUGACUGACCGAUAGUGAACUAGUACCGUGAGGGAAAGGCGAAAAGAACCCCGGAGAGGGGAGUGAAAUAGAUCCUGAAACCGUAUGCGUACAAGCAGUGGGAGCCCACUUUGUUGGGUGACUGCGUACCUUUUGUAUAAUGGGUCAGCGACUUAUUUUCAGUGGCGAGCUUAACCGAAUAGGGGAGGCGUAGCGAAAGCGAGUCUUAAUAGGGCGUCUAGUCGCUGGGAAUAGACCCGAAACCGGGCGAUCUAUCCAUGGGCAGGUUGAAGGUUGGGUAACACUAACUGGAGGACCGAACCGACUACCGUUGAAAAGUUAGCGGAUGACCUGUGGAUCGGAGUGAAAGGCUAAUCAAGCUCGGAGAUAGCUGGUUCUCCUCGAAAGCUAUUUAGGUAGCGCCUCAUGUAUCACUGUAGGGGGUAGAGCACUGUUUCGGCUAGGGGGUCAUCCCGACUUACCAAACCGAUGCAAACUCCGAAUACCUACAAGUGCCGAGCAUGGGAGACACACGGCGGGUGCUAACGUCCGUCGUGAAAAGGGAAACAACCCAGACCGUCAGCUAAGGUCCCAAAGUUAUGGUUAAGUGGGAAACGAUGUGGGAAGGCUUAGACAGCUAGGAGGUUGGCUUAGAAGCAGCCACCCUUUAAAGAAAGCGUAAUAGCUCACUAGUCGAGUCGGCCUGCGCGGAAGAUGUAACGGGGCUCAAACCAUACACCGAAGCUACGGGUAUCACGUAAGUGAUGCGGUAGAGGAGCGUUCUGUAAGCCUGUGAAGGUGAGUUGAGAAGCUUGCUGGAGGUAUCAGAAGUGCGAAUGCUGACAUGAGUAACGACAAUGGGUGUGAAAAACACCCACGCCGAAAGACCAAGGUUUCCUGCGCAACGUUAAUCGACGCAGGGUUAGUCGGUCCCUAAGGCGAGGCUGAAAAGCGUAGUCGAUGGAAAACAGGUUAAUAUUCCUGUACUUCUGGUUAUUGCGAUGGAGGGACGGAGAAGGCUAGGCCAGCUUGGCGUUGGUUGUCCAAGUUUAAGGUGGUAGGCUGAGAUCUUAGGUAAAUCCGGGAUCUUAAGGCCGAGAGCUGAUGACGAGUGUUCUUUUAGAACACGAAGUGGUUGAUGCCAUGCUUCCAAGAAAAGCUUCUAAGCUUCAGGUAACCAGGAACCGUACCCCAAACCGACACAGGUGGUUGGGUAGAGAAUACCAAGGCGCUUGAGAGAACUCGGGUGAAGGAACUAGGCAAAAUGGCACCGUAACUUCGGGAGAAGGUGCGCCGGUGAGGGUGAAGGACUUGCUCCGUAAGCUCAUGCCGGUCGAAGAUACCAGGCCGCUGCGACUGUUUAUUAAAAACACAGCACUCUGCAAACACGAAAGUGGACGUAUAGGGUGUGACGCCUGCCCGGUGCCGGAAGGUUAAUUGAUGGGGUUAGCUAACGCGAAGCUCUUGAUCGAAGCCCCGGUAAACGGCGGCCGUAACUAUAACGGUCCUAAGGUAGCGAAAUUCCUUGUCGGGUAAGUUCCGACCUGCACGAAUGGCGUAACGAUGGCGGCGCUGUCUCCACCCGAGACUCAGUGAAAUUGAAAUCGCUGUGAAGAUGCAGUGUAUCCGCGGCUAGACGGAAAGACCCCGUGAACCUUUACUAUAGCUUUGCACUGGACUUUGAAUUUGCUUGUGUAGGAUAGGUGGGAGGCUUUGAAGCGUGGACGCCAGUCUGCGUGGAGCCAACCUUGAAAUACCACCCUGGCAACUUUGAGGUUCUAACUCAGGUCCGUUAUCCGGAUCGAGGACAGUGUAUGGUGGGUAGUUUGACUGGGGCGGUCUCCUCCUAAAGAGUAACGGAGGAGUACGAAGGUGCGCUCAGACCGGUCGGAAAUCGGUCGUAGAGUAUAAAGGCAAAAGCGCGCUUGACUGCGAGACAGACACGUCGAGCAGGUACGAAAGUAGGUCUUAGUGAUCCGGUGGUUCUGUAUGGAAGGGCCAUCGCUCAACGGAUAAAAGGUACUCCGGGGAUAACAGGCUGAUACCGCCCAAGAGUUCAUAUCGACGGCGGUGUUUGGCACCUCGAUGUCGGCUCAUCACAUCCUGGGGCUGAAGCCGGUCCCAAGGGUAUGGCUGUUCGCCAUUUAAAGUGGUACGCGAGCUGGGUUUAGAACGUCGUGAGACAGUUCGGUCCCUAUCUGCCGUGGACGUUUGAGAUUUGAGAGGGGCUGCUCCUAGUACGAGAGGACCGGAGUGGACGAACCUCUGGUGUUCCGGUUGUCACGCCAGUGGCAUUGCCGGGUAGCUAUGUUCGGAAUAGAUAACCGCUGAAAGCAUCUAAGCGGGAAACUAGCCUCAAGAUGAGAUCUCACUGGAACCUUGAGUUCCCUGAAGGGCCGUCGAAGACUACGACGUUGAUAGGUUGGGUGUGUAAGCGCUGUGAGGCGUUGAGCUAACCAAUACUAAUUGCCCGUGAGGCUUGACCAUAUAACACCCAAGCAAUU